GACGAACGCUGGCGGCGUGCUUAACACAUGCAAGUCGAACGAAGAGCGACGGAAGCUUGCUUCUAUCACUCUUAGUGGCGAACGGGUGAGUAACGCGUAAUCAACCUGCCCUUCAGAGGGGGACAACAGUUGGAAACGACUGCUAAUACCGCAUACGAUCUAACCUCGGCAUCGAGGAUAGAUGAAAGGUGGCCUCUACAUGUAAGCUAUCACUGAAGGAGGGGAUUGCGUCUGAUUAGCUAGUUGGAGGGGUAACGGCCCACCAAGGCGAUGAUCAGUAGCCGGUCUGAGAGGAUGGACGGCCACAUUGGGACUGAGACACGGCCCAGACUCCUACGGGAGGCAGCAGUGGGGAAUCUUCCGCAAUGGACGAAAGUCUGACGGAGCAACGCCGCGUGAGUGAUGACGGCCUUCGGGUUGUAAAGCUCUGUUAAUCGGGACGAAAGGCCUUCUUGCGAAUAGUGAGAAGGAUUGACGGCACCGGAAUAGAAAGCCACGGCUAACUACGUG
rnacentral:rRNA from 1 species